rnacentral:lncRNA from 1 species
UACCACGUGAUCGUGUCUCACGUCUAGGAGCCUCCCGGGCCUGUGGUGAAGGGUUGGGACUGUUGGCCGCUUGUGGCGACUGUUCCCGGCCAUGUCCCUGGCUGACUGUUUUCCUGCUGAUCCUGACCAGCGUCCCCGGCAGCCAUGGCCUGCAUUCGUGUUGGUCCCUCCUCCUGCAGCCCCGAGGAGGCAGGGCUGUCUGUGGAUCCCAGAUCGGUUGUCGGAAGGCCCGGAAGAGGAGAGCUGCCCUCCACCACCACUGUCUCCUCCUCCUGGACAACAGAGUCAGGACACUGCUGAGAUGGGGUGAAGCAUAAUUGUUGCACUGAGACUCAAAACUACAGGCAAGA